UUUGAUUUCCUUCGGGACUGAUUAUUUUGUGACUGAGUGGCGGACGGGUGAGUAACGCGUGGGUAACCUGCCUUGUACAGGGGGAUAACAGUUGGAAACGGCUGCUAAUACCGCAUAAAACAGCAGAGUCGCAUGACUCAACUGUCAAAGAUUUAUCGGUGUAAGAUGGACCCGCGUCUGAUUAGCUUGUUGGUGGGGUAACGGCCUACCAAGGCAACGAUCAGUAGCCGGCCUGAGAGGGUGAACGGCCACAUUGGGACUGAGACACGGCCCAAACUCC
rnacentral:rRNA from 1 species